rnacentral:piRNA from 1 species
UGAGAGCUUGUUAAUUAGUGUAUGGGUCC